CCUACGGGUGGCAGCAGUGAGGAAUAUUGGUCAAUGGGCGCGAGCCUGAACCAGCCAAGUAGAGUGAAGGAUGAAUGCCCUACGGGUUGUAAACUUCUUGUAUAAAGGAAUAAAGUGAGGCACGUGUGCCUUUUUGUAUGUACUUUAUGAAUAAGGAUCGGCUAACUCCGUGCAAGCAGCCGCGGUAAUACGGAGGAACCGAGCGUGAUCCGGAUUUAUUGGGGUUAAAGGGAGCGUAGAUGGGUUGUUAAGUCAGUUGUGAAAGUUUGCGGACCAACCGUAAAAUUGCAAUUUAUACUGGCAGUCUUGAGUACAGUUGAGGUAGGCGGAAUUCGUUGUGUAGCGGUGAAAUGCUUAGAUAUCACGAAGAACUCCGAUUGCGAAGGCAGCUUACUAAACUGCCACUGACAUUGAUGCUCGAAAGUGUGGGUAUCAAACAGGAUUAGAUACCCUUGUAGUC
rnacentral:rRNA from 1 species